rnacentral:rRNA from 1 species
GACGAACGCUGGCGGCGUGCUUAACACAUGCAAGUCGAACGGAAAGGCCCUGCUUUUGUGGGGUGCUCGAGUGGCGAACGGGUGAGUAACACGUGAGUAACCUGCCCUUGACUUUGGGAUAACUUCAGGAAACUGGUGCUAAUACCGGCUAGGAGCUCGUGCUGCAUGGUGGGGGUUGGAAAGUUUCGGCGGUUGGGGAUGGACUCGCGGCUUAUCAGCUUGUUGGUGGGGUAGUGGCUUACCCAGGCUUUGACGGGUAGCCGGCCUGGGAGGGUGACCGGCGACAUUGGGACUGAGAUACGGCCCAGACUCCUACGGGAGGCAGCAGUGGGGAAUAUUGCACAAUGGGCGGAAGCGUGAUGCAGCAACGCCGCGUGCGGGAUGACGGCCUUCGUGUUGUAAACCGCAUUCGCCUGUGACGAAGCGUGAGUGACGGUAAUGGGUAAAGAAGCACCGGCUAACUACGUG